AGGACGGUAGCUCAGUCAGGUGAGAGCAGCGGCGCAAGUCGCAGGCCACCGGUUCGAAUCCGGUUCGUCCAC
rnacentral:tRNA from 1 species